ACGAGGUCACCACCACAUCGAUUCCACAUUCUGUAGUGUUAGUCAAUAGGGCCGGGUAGGUAACCAUCGGUUACAGAGACCACGAGGUCACGAGGUCACCACCACAUCGAUUCAACAGACUGUAGUAUUAGUCAAUAGGGCCGGGUAGGUAACCAUCGGUUACAGAGACUACGAGGUCACGAGGUCACCACCACAUCGGUUCAACAGACUGUGGGCCGGGUAGGUAACCAUCGGUUACAGAGACCACGAGGUCACGAGGUCACCACCACAUCGGUUCAACAGACUGUAGAAUUAGUCAAUAGGGCCGGGUAGGUAACCAUCGGUUACAGAGACCACGAGGUCACGAGGUCACCACCACAUCGACUCAACAGUCUGUAGUAUUAGUCAAUAGGGCCCGGUAGGUAACCAUCGGUUACAGAGACCACAGUAGAAAGGGUUUGUUGUCCAUUUCAUCAUGUUAAAAAUAAAAUUAAAAAAUAUAUUUAAAAAAAGGGGUCAUUCUGCUGUUAGUAAAGUGUUUUUUUGUAUGAACUGCAGAUUGCCCCUUUAAGCAUGCCCCCGCCCCAACAAACAGGAAGCGCUAACACACAAGGAGCUAGUCAGCUAUCCUGCCCGACAACAGCCAGCGAUGUCCAAUCAAAUAAAAGAGAGAGAGAGAGAGAGAAGAGAAGCUGUAGACGACACCUUUGGUAAAUAUGAAGAAACAGUUUUAUGUAAUCCCAUCUGAUAUCAGAAAGGUAAAGAAGAACAUUUAUUCUGUAAUACUGUCAUUAUUAUGCAACAUGUCAAGUUAAAAAGAGUACGUGAAAUGAAUGCCGUUGAAUACAUUAGCCUCCUAAACGGCACCCUAUUCCCUAUUUAGUGCACUACUUUUGACCAAAAAGCACCCUAUGGCACUAUGGGCUCUGGUCUAAAAUAGUGCGCACUAUAUA